rnacentral:rRNA from 1 species
GACGAACGCUGGCGGCGUGCUUAACACAUGCAAGUCGAACGAUGAAGCUGGAGCUUGCUCCGGUGGAUUAGUGGCGAACGGGUGAGUAACACGUGAGCAAUCUGCCCCUGACUCUGGGAUAACUGCGGGAAACUGUAGCUAAUACCGGAUACGACACCUUCGGGCAUCCGAUGGGUGUGGAAAGAACUUCGGUCAGGGAUGAGCUCGCGGCCUAUCAGCUUGUUGGUGAGGUAACGGCUCACCAAGGCGA